rnacentral:ncRNA from 1 species
GGAGUCAGUUUUUACUUUACAUACACAUGCAAGUAUCCGCCACCCUGUGAGAACGCCCUUAAACCCCUCUUAGGAACAAGGAGCUGGUAUCAGGCACAAUAACCCGCCCAAGACACCUAGCUACGCCACACCCUCAAGGGAAUUCAGCAGUGAUUAACAUUGAAAAUUAGCGCAAGCUUGACUCAGUUAAAGUUACCCAGAGCCGGCCAAUCUGGUGCCAGCCGCCGCGGUUACACCACGUGGCUCAAAUUGACCCCCUCCGGCGUAAAGCGUGAUUAAAGUUAAACCACACUAGAAUUGAACUAAAACUGAGCUGUGACACGCCUGUUACUAAGAAAUACUAAGACGAAAGUCAUUCUAAUUUAAUCAACUUGAACUCACGACAGCUGAGAAACAAACUGGGAUUAGAUACCCCACUAUGCCCAGCCGUAAACCUUUAAUUACAUCCUAUCGCCAGGGAACUACAAGCCAAGCUCAAAACCCAAAGGACUUGACGGUACCCCACAUCCCCCUAGAGGAGCCUGUCCUAUGAUCGAUAAUCCUCGUUUAACCUCACCAUUUUUAGUCAAUCAGCCUGUAUACCUCCGUCGUCAGCUUACCACGUGAGCGCCAAUUAGUGAGCCCAAUGCUUUUCACCAACACGUCAGGUCAAGGUGCAGUAAAUGAAAUGGAAAGAGAUGGGCUACACUUUCUACCAUAGAAGAAACGAAAAACUACCUAUGAAACCUAGUUGGAAGGCGGAUUUAGCAGUAAAAAGGAAUCAGAAUACCCUCUUUAACCCGGCACUGGGGUGUGUACACACCGCCCGUCACCCUCUUCAAAGCUACAACCAAGUAUUACCCCACUAAAGCAUUUCAGAAGAGGCAAGUCGUAACAUGGUAAGUAUAC